rnacentral:rRNA from 1 species
GACGAACGCUGGCGGCGUGCUUAACACAUGCAAGUCGAGCGGUAAGGCCCUUCGGGGUACACGAGCGGCGAACGGGUGAGUAACACGUGGGUGACCUGCCUCUAGCUCUGGGGAUAAGCCUGGGAAACUGGGUCUAAUACCGGAUAUGACUCCACGGCGCAUGUUGUGGGGUGGAAAGCCUUGUGUGGCUAGAGAUGGGCCCGCGGCCUAUCAGCUUGUUGGUGGGGUGAUGGCCUACCAAGGCGACGACGGGUAGCCGGCCUGAGAGGGCGACCGGCCACACUGGGACUGAGACACGGCCCAGACUCCGUACGGGAGGCAGCGAGUGGGGAAUCUUGCGCAAUGGGCGAAAGCCUGACGCAGCGACGCCGCGUGAGGGAUGACGG